rnacentral:tRNA from 1 species
GCGCCUGUAGCUCAGAUGGAUAGAGCGUUUGCCUCCGAAGCAAAAGGCCGCAGGUUCGAAUCCUGCCAGGCGUACCA